UAGCAUAUUCAUUUGACGUUAGCUGCAGAAGAAGCACCGGCUAACUCCGUGCCAGCAGCCGCGGUAAUACGGAGGGUGCGAGCGUUAAUCGGAAUUACUGGGCGUAAAGCGCAUGCAGGUGGUUUGUUAAGUCAGAUGUGAAAGCCCCGGGGCUCAACCUCGGAAUAGCAUUUGAAACUGGCAGACUAGAGUACUGUAGAGGGGGUAGAAUUUCAGGUGUAGCGGUGAAAUGCGUAGAGAUCUGAAGGAAUACCGGUGGCGAAGGCGGCCCCCUGGACAGAUACUGACACUCAGAUGCGAAAGCGUGGGGAGCAAACAGGAUUAGAUACCCUGGUAG
rnacentral:rRNA from 1 species